GCAGCCUCCGGAGCCAGCCUCAGCUCUAGCCGUGCACAGUGGGGAAGGUGGAGGUUCCGCUCUGCCAGAAGGAAAGCUCCAUAGUUCUGAGAACCGUGUACUUUUCAGUCUAGUUUUAGGGGUUCCUAUUUGCUGGCAGUCCGUGGGGAAGGGAGAAAGCCUAGUUCUCUUGGUGAGGGUUGGGAUGUGAGAAGGGCUUUUCGCUUCGGGUUUUGUGUUUCCUUUACAGGACCGAAAGGAAGGUUUUAUUUUAUUUUUUAAAAAAAGAAUAUUACUAUCUGUGGUCUUUUAACAACUAUGUGGAUUUGAGCAGCACUCCUGCCGGAGAUGCUUUUCUGCUACAUCUGGCACUGGAACACGAAAACCAAGCAACUUUUCAUCUGAGCCAAACUCAGAAACAGCCGAGAUUUAUUUAGGGUUUGCUUACUUGGGGGACUACCCGACUGGUUUAAAUCAACUAGAAUCUGAUAUCUAUCUCCUGUUAGGGUUUGUGACUAUAUUUUGUUUCCCAUCUGAUUUAGGGACUUCUUUUAUGUCCUUACAGUAACUACUAAACGUUUAAAGCUUUUUGUGGUUGCUGUAAAGUUGAGAGUAUUAUGUUUAUUGGUCAAUGUGGGUGCCCUCCAGUGGCCAGAAUAAUACCUAUUUCUGAGAAGAAAUGUAUCAGAUUUUCACAUUGUCAAGUAAUCUAACAGCAAAGCCAAGAUUUAUGGAGAGUCUUUUAAAUUUAAACUGUGCUUAAGUACAAAUCCAUUGA